rnacentral:rRNA from 1 species
UCUAUCAGCAGGGAAGAAAGACUCGUAAGAGAGAUGACGGUACCUGACUAAGAAGCCCCGGCUAACUACGUGCCAGCAGCCGCGGUAAUACGUAGGGGGCAAGCGUUAUCCGGAUUUACUGGGUGUAAAGGGAGCGCAGACGGCCAGGCAAGUCUGAAGUGAAACCCCACCGCUCAACCGUGGGCUUGCUUUGGAAACUGUCAGGCUAGAGUACUGGAGAGGUAAGCGGAAUUCCUAGUGUAGCGGUGAAAUGCGUAGAUAUUAGGAGGAACAUCGGUGGCGAAGGCGGCUUACUGGACAGCAACUGACGUUGAGGCUCGAAGGCGUGGGGAGCAAACAGGAUUAGAUACCCUGGUAGUCCACGCGGUAAACGAUGAAUACUAGGUGUUGGGUGCCAUAGGCAUUCAGUGCCGUCGCUAA